rnacentral:rRNA from 1 species
UAAGGAAUAUUGGUCAAUGGACGCAAGUCUGAACCAGCCAUGCCGCGUGAAGGAUGAAGGUCCUCUGGAUUGUAAACUUCUUUUGAUGGGGAAGAAACCCUGGUUUUCUAAUCAGGUUGACGGUACCUAUGGAAUAAGCACCGGCUAACUCCGUGCCAGCAGCCGCGGUAAUACGGAGGGUGCAAGCGUUAUCCGGAUUCACUGGGUUUAAAGGGUGCGUAGGCGGGCAGGUAAGUCAGUGGUGAAAUCCCCGAGCUUAACUUGGGAACUGCCAUUGAUACUAUCUGUCUUGAAUGUUGUGGAGGUCAGCGGAAUAUGUCAUGUAGCGGUGAAAUGCUUAGAUAUGACAUAGAACACCGAUUGCGAAGGCAGCUGGCUACACAAAUAUUGACGCUGAGGCACGAAAGCGUGGGGAUCAAACA